AGUUGCUGUUCAUGCCUUUUGCCCACUUUCUAAUUGGUUUUGUUACUAUUUAAAUCCUUCUUUGUAUAGUUGUGAUACAAGUUGUAUAAAUGGUUUGCAAAUGUUUUCACUCAGUCUGUGGCUUAUAUUUUCAUUCUCUUGCCAUUGCCUUUCACAGAGUAAAUGUUUUAUUUUGAUGUUCAACUUCUCAGUUUUGUCUUAUUGAUCAUGAUUUUGUUGUCAUGACUAAGAACUUUUUGCAUAACUCUAGUUAGAAUAUUUCCCAUAUUUCCUCCUACAAUUUUGUAUUUUCACAUUUCAUAUUGAAAUUGUGUGUGUACCGCAUAUAUUAUAUAAUUUUUUGUGUUGAUCUCCUAACCCGCAACUUCAAUUGAUUUAUUCUAGGAAGUGUGUGUGUGUGUGUGUGUGUGUGUCCCUUGAGAUUUUGUACAUUUAUAGACAAUUAUGUCAUAUGUAAUUAUGUAUUCACUAAUAUUUUCCUUUUCUUAUUUAUAUGCCAUUUAUUUAUUUUUUUCUUACCUUGUUGUGCUCGCUAGCCUUCCAGUACUAUGUUGAAUAAGAGUGAUGAAAGUGGACAUCUUGGCCUUUGUCCUAAUUUUAUGAGGAAGCAUUCAGUCUUUCAUGAUUAAGUAUAAUGUUAAUUAUAUUUUUUCAAUAGAUAUCUUUAUCAGGUUGGUGACAUUCUCUAUUCCUAGCUUGCUGAGAUUUUUCUUUUUAAUUAUAAAAUGGCAUUGAGUUUUGUCAAAUGAUUUUUUUGCAUUGAUGUGAUGUCAUGUCAUGUCGUUUUUCUUUUAAGCUAAGUACAGUGGAUUACAUUAAUUUAUUUUCAAAUUUUGAAUGAGCCUGUCAUUACUGUCAUAAACUUCACUUUGAUGUGAUGUAUAUUUGUUUAUAUAUAUUACUAGAUUUGAUUUGCCACUAUGUUUUUGAGAACUUUUGAAUAUAAAUUUAUGAGUGAUAUAAAUCUUUAAUUUUUUUUAAUGUUUAUUUUUGAGAGAAAGAGAGAGAGAGACAAAGCAUGAGCAGGGGAGGGGUAGAGGAGAGGGAGACACAGAAUCCAAAGCAGGCUCCAGGCUCUGAGCUGUCAGCACAGAGCCCAACGUGGGGCUCGAACCCAUGAACCAUGAGAUCAUGACCUGAGCUGAAGAUGGUUGUAUAACCAACUGAGCUACCCAGGCACCCCAUAAAUCCUUACUCUUUGAAUUAUUAUCUUUGUUGUGUUUUCAUGUAAGUAAUACUGGACUCAUAAAAUGUGUUGCGUUUCUAUUCUAUUUUCUGGAAGAGUUUGUGUAGAAUUGUUGUUAAUUCAUUGAGUAUAGAAUUCUCCACUGCAAUCAACUGGGCUUGAGCAUUUCUUUUCUGAAAUGCUUUUUACUAUGAAUUCUACUUAUUUAAUAGUUAUAGAAAAGUUUAGGUUAUCUGUUUUAUCUUGAGUGACAUUUGGUAAUUUUUGGCUUUGAUGGAAUGACCUAAUUUCAGUUUCACCUAAGUUGUCAAAUUAACAUGCAGAGAAUUGUUUCUGGUGUUUCCUGACUAUCCUUUAAUAAUCCUGACUAUCCUUGAGUAUCUGUGUGUAGUGAUAUCUUUUUCAUUCCUGAAUUUGGUAUUUUGUAUUUUUUUCAGUCAUAGUAAAGUUUUUUUCAAUUUUAGUUUUUCUUUUUUUGAAAAAUUGUUUAAUGUUUAUUUUUUGAGAGAGAGAGAGAGAGAGAGAGAGAGCAGGAGAGGGUCAGAGAGAGGGAGACACAGAAUCGGAAGCAGGCUCCAGGCUCUGAGUUGUCAGCACAGAGCUCAUCAUGGGGCUCCAACUCACCAACUGAGCCGUGAAAUCAUGACCUGAGCCGAAGUUGGACACUCAACUGACUGAGCCACCCAGGCACCUCUGAUCUUUUCUUUUUUAAAGUUUACUUAUUUUGAGAGAGACAGAGAGAGGGAGAGAGAGAAAGAGAGAAAGCGAGUGUGAGCAGGGGAAGAGCAGAGACAGGGAGAGAGAGAAUCCCAAGUAGGCUCUGGCUGUCAGUGCAGAGCCCUAUGUGGAGGUUGAUCCCAUGAAGCAUGAGAUCAUGGCCUGAGCCCAAAUCAAGGGUCAGACGCUCAAGUGACUGAGCCACCCAGGCACCCCUCAAUUUUAUUGAUUUUGUCAAAGGAUCAACUUUAGUUUUCAUGGUUUUUUUUCCCUAUCAUUUUUCUAUUUUCAGUAUCAUUUAAUCUUGCUCUUAUGUCUUUGCUUCUACUUGGCUUUGGAUUUUUUAUUCUGUUUUUCUGUUUAUUUUCUGGGAUAAAAGUUUACACUAUUGAUUUAAACCUUUUUUUUUAAAUUCAAGUAUAAUUAACCUACAGUGUUAUAUUAGUUUCAUAUGUACAAUAAUGAUUCAACAAUUCCAUACAUUACUCAGUGCUCAUCACGAUAAAUGUAUUCUUAAUCCUCUUCACCUAUAUCAUCCACCCCCCACCCUCUUCUUUUCUAAUGUAAACAUUCAGUGGUAUAAAUUUUCCACUCAACACUGUUUUAGCUCCAAGGCACAUUUCACCCAUUUUGUCAUUCCCCCCAUUCCUCCUCUGGCAAUCAUCAGUUCAUUCUUUGUGUUUACAGGUCUGUUUCUGUUUUUGUUGGUUUGUUCAUUUCUUUUGUUUUUCAGAUUCCACAUGUAAGUGAAAUCAAAUGGCAUGUGUUUUUCUCUGUCUGACAUAUUACACUUAGCAUAAUACCCUCUAGGUCCAUUCAUAUUGUUGUAAAUGGCAAGAUCUCACCUUUUUUUUAUGACUAAUAUUCGUGUGUGUGUGUGUGUGUGUGUGUGUGUGUGUGUGUGUGUGACGUGUUCUUUGUCCAUUCAUCUAUGGAUGUUGCUUCUGUUCUACCUUGGCUAUUAUAAAUAGAGCUAAAAUAAACAUAGGGGUGCAUGUAUCUUUUUGAAUUAGUAGUUUUAUUUUCUUUGGGAAAAUAAAUACCUAGUGGUGGAAUUACUAGAUUGUACAGUAAUUCUAUCUUUAAUUUGUUUUUAACUUUAUUUAUUUAUUUAUUUAUUUAUUUAUUUAUUUAGGGAGUGGGGGAAUAGAGAGAGAGGGAGACAGAAUACCAAGCAGGCCUUAUGCUUUCAGUGCAGAGAUCCUUACCUGAGCUGAAAUCAAGAGUUGGACACUCAACUGACUGAGCCACUCAGGCUCAGAUUUUUGAGGAAUCUCCAUACUCUUUUCUACAAUGGCUGCACCAAUAUAUGUUCCCAGCAACAAGGCAUGAGGGUUCCUUUCUAUUCACAUUCUUGCCAACCCUUGUUAUUGUCAUUUUGAUUCUAGCUAUUCCGUUCUGACAGGUGUAAGAUGGUAUCUCAUGGUUUUGAUUCGUAUUUCCCUCAUGAUGGUGAUGUUGAACAUCUUUCAUGUUUCUUGGCUUUCUGUAUAUCUUCUUUGAAAAAAUGUAUAUUCAGGUCCUUUGCCCAUUGUUUAAUCAGAUGAUGAUGAUGCUUAUGUUGAGUUAUAUAAGUUCUUUACAUACUGUAUAUAUUAACCCAUUAUUGAAUGUAUCAUUAGCGAAUAUUCUCUCCCAUUCAGUAGGUUGCCCUCUUGCCUUGUUGAGGUUUUCCUUCGCUGUGCAAAAGCUUUUUCAUUUUGGUGUAGUAUAAAUAGUUACUUUUGCUGGUCUUUCCUUUGCCUGAGGAGACAUAUCUAGAAAAAUGUUUCAAAGGCUAAUGUCAAAGAGAUUACUGCCUAUGUUUUCUUCCAAGGUAAAAAUCUUGACAAGUGUUUUUUUUUUUCCUUUCAUUAAGCUUAAAUAACUUUUUCUUUCCCUUUGUAAGUUCCUCUUUGUCCUAAGGAAUAUUUAGAAGGGUUUAAUUUCCACAUUUUUCUUAUCCAUUGCUCAUUUCUAGUUUGAUUACACUCAGAGGAUAUAGUUUGCAUGAUGUCAGUUUUUAAAAUUUUACAAUUUAGGGGCGUCUGGGUGGCUCAGUCGGUUGAGCGUCUGACUUCAGCUCAGGUCAUGAUCUCAUGGGUUCGUGAGUUCGGCCCCGCAUCAGGCUCUGUGCUGACAGCUUAGAGCCUGGAGCCUGCUUCAGAUUUUGUGUCUCCCUCUCUCUCUGCCCCUCCCCUGCUCAUGCUCUGUCUUUCUGUGUCUCAAAAAUAAAUAAAAAACAUUAAAAAAAUUUAAAAUUUUACAACUUAUUUUAUGUCAUAGUAUAUGAUCUAUAGAAUGUUUAAUUGGUUCUUAAAAUGUGUAUUCUGUUGCUGGGUGGAAUGUUCUAUAAAUGCAAAUUGUAUCCAGUUG